CUUCCAAAAGAGAAUUUAAAUUUGACCUAAUAUUAUUAUUUGUUCAUCUCCCCUCUCGAUCGCCACCCACAGAAGAAAAGAAAAGGAGGAAGAAGAAGAUGUCUCCGAUGAUGAAGAAGAAUAAGAUGUCCCCGAAGUUAAUUGGAUUUGGAUUUCAAGGGAAAGAAGCUAGCUUAUGGAGAUUAUGUUGAUGCCGCUUUCGACCGCUUCAGAAUCAGAAACUGGUCCAGCAAUUAGACCUGCAGAAGAAACAACUGUACGAUGUUGAAACCGCGGGUUCAAACCAAGAUCUCAGACCGCGGGUCCAGCAAUUAGACCGUUCCUUUUCUGUCUUUGUAGAACGACUAAUUGGAUGUUUAACUCAAGAGGGUCAAUGGUGUUAUUUCUGCUUCUUGACGAUUUAGUUGGUUGAUUGAUAUGAUAUUGCUUGGAGUUCGUGACGGGAACUAUAAGAAACCCAACAGACAAGUCUACAAAGCUAAUUACUUUGAGAAAUUGCAGGUGUUGGUUUUCUAAGUUAUAUAUCAAAGGUUUUGGUGAAUGAAUUUUCAGAUUUUGGUUUGAGUAUAAAUUUUCUGAUUUAUAAUUGCAGGUUUUGGUAAACUAAUUUGCAGCUUUUGAUUUUUUUUGAGUUAUACAUUGCAGGUUUUUGGCCAACAAAAUUGCAAAUUUUUGGUUUGAUAAAUUGCAGGAUCGACAAAGAGGAAUCGAUUAUGAAACAGUUCAUAUGUUAUUGACAUGUUUGACAUGAAGCAGAAAAUAAAAAGAAUGGGCAAGUGAUCUCCUUGGAGCUGAAGCUUUUCUGGUUGUGACUAUCGCUGGUUUGUCUACGGAGGUGAAAUCAGGACAGGUCUCAGGUUCCACGGUGGGAGCAUGAGUUGUUUCGUGAGUAAACGCAACCAGGUCUCUCAGUUUAGUUUGUGGCUGUGAAACUGCAGGCUUCUGCAAAAUGCAAUGUUCAGUUACAGGAUGGGAAGGCACAGAGUGGACAAGAGUAGCUUUGCGCGUCUCUGCUCUUAACUCAGUUUGUGAUAGAGAUGUUGCAGGUUCAGGUAGAGGAAGAGAAGGCACAAAGUGGACGGGAGCAGCUAUGCGUGUCUCCGUUCUUAGCCCCGCUUGUGAUUGAGAAGUUGCAGGCUUCUGCAAAACGAAAUGUUCAGGUAAUGGAAGAGAAGACAACACUGUGUGAAGAGGCGUCAAUAUCCGCUUCUUCUUAAACGGGUCAUGUAAUUUGUGUUUUCUUCAAAUAAACCAUUGGUGAUGAUGAUAUGAGACAAAUUUGGAGUGACUUUUACGGGACUUUACGUCUCUGUUCGGCUGAUUUUUCUUUUGCCCCAGCACAAAAUAUAAUAAAUAAUAUUAC